rnacentral:rRNA from 1 species
GAUGAACGCUGGCGGCGUGCUUAACACAUGCAAGUCGAACGAUGAAGCUGGAGCUUGCUCUGGUGGAUUAGUGGCGAACGGGUGAGUAACACGUGAGCAACCUGCCCCUGACUCUGGGAUAACAGCCGGAAACGGCUGCUAAUACCGGAUAUGCACCAUGAACGCAUGUUCUGUGGUGGGAAAGAUUUUUCGGUUGGGGAUGGGCUCGCGGCCUAUCAGCUUGUUGGUGAGGUAAUGGCUCACCAAGGCGUCGACGGGUAGCCGGCCUGAGAGGGUGACCGGCCACACUGGGACUGAGACACGGCCCAGACUCCUACGGGAGGCAGCAGUGGGGAAUAUUGCACAAUGGGCGAAAGCCUGAUGCAGCAGCGCCGCGUGAGGGAUGACGGCCUUCGGGUUGUAAACCUCUUUUAGCAGGGAAGAAGCGAGAGUGACGGUACCUGCAGAAAAAGCGCCGGCUAACUACGUG